UUUCAUAACUUGUCAGGUUGGG
rnacentral:siRNA from 1 species